CCUGGCUCAGAACGAACGCUGGCGGCACGCCUAACACAUGCAAGUCGAGCGCACCUUCGGGUGAGCGGCGGACGGGUUAGUAACGCGUGGGAACGUACCCUUUACUAAGGAAUAGCCACUGGAAACGGUGAGUAAUACCUUAUACGCCCUUCGGGGGAAAGAUUUAUCGGUAAAGGAUCGGCCCGCGUUAGAUUAGAUAGUUGGUGGGGUAAUGGCCUACCAAGUCUACGAUCUAUAGCUGGUUUUAGAGGAUGAUCAGCAACACUGGGACUGAGACACGGCCCA
rnacentral:rRNA from 1 species